GAUGAACGCUGGCGGCGUGCCUAAUACAUGCAAGCCGAGCGAACGGACGAGAAGCUUGCUUCUCUGAUGUUAGCGGCGGACGGGUGAGUAGCACGUGGAUAACCUACCUAUAAGACUGGGAUAACUUCGGGAAACCGUAGCUAAUACCGGAUAAUAUUUUGCACCGCAUGGUUCAAAAGUGAAAGACGGUCUUGCUGUCACUUAUCGAUGGAUCCGCGCUGCAUUAGCUAGUUGGUAAGGUAACGGCGUACCAAGGCAACGAUGCAUAGCCGACCUGAGAGGGUGAUCAGCCACACUGGGACUGAGACACGGUACAGACUCACACGGGAGGCAGCCGUAGGGAAUCUUCCGCAAUGGGCGAAAGCCUGACGGAGAAACGCCGCGUGAUUGAGGAAGGUCUUCGGAUCGUAAAACUCUGUUAUUGGGGAAGAACAUAUGUGUAAGUAACUGUGCACAUCUUGACGGUAACUAAUCAGAAAGCCACGGCUAACUACGUU
rnacentral:rRNA from 1 species